UGACCUCAAAUCGGGUGAGACUACCCGCUGAACUUAAGCAUAUCAAUAAGCGGAGGAAAAGAAACUAACAAGGAUUCCCCUAGUAACUGCGAGUGAAGCGGGAAAAGCUCAAAUUUAAAAUCUGGCGGUCCUUGGCCGUCCGAGUUGUAAUUUAGAGAAGCGUCUUCCGCGCCGGACCGUGCACAAGUCUCCUGGAAUGGAGCGUCGUAGAGGGUGAGAAUCCCGUCUUUGGCACGGACGCCCGGUGCUUCUGUGAUGCGCUCUCGAAGAGUCGAGUUGUUUGGGAAUGCAGCUCAAAAUGGGUGGUGAACUCCAUCUAAAGCUAAAUAUUGGCGAGAGACCGAUAGCGAACAAGUACCGUGAGGGAAAGAUGAAAAGCACUUUGGAAAGAGAGUGAAACAGUACGUGAAAUUGUUGAAAGGGAAACGCUUGAAGUCAGUCGCGUCGACCGAGACUCAGCCUUGCCUCGGCUUGGUGUAUUUCUCGGGCCGACGGGUCAGCGUCAAUUUUGUCCCUCGGAUAAUGGCAAGGGAAAGGUGGCACCUUUGCGGGUGUGUUAUAGUCUCCUGUCGCAUGCGAGGGGUGAGAUUGAGGAACUCAGCGCGCGCCUCUUGGUGUCGGGGCUUCGGCCCACGCAACGCGCUUAGGACGCUGG
rnacentral:rRNA from 1 species